UGGGGAAUUUUGCACAAUGGGGGAAACCCUGAUGCAGCGACGCCGCGUGAUUUAGAAGGCCUUCGGGUUGUAAAAAUCUUUUCUAUGGGAAGAAAAUGACAGUACCAUAGGAAUAAGGACCGGCUAAUACGUGCCAGCAGCCGCGGUAAUACGUAAGGUCCGAGCGUUGUCCGGAAUCAUUGGGCGUAAAGGGUACGUAGGCGGGUAAGCAAGUUAGAAGUGAAAUCCUAUAGCUCAACUAUAGUAAGCUUUUAAAACUGCUCAUCUUGAGGUAUGGAAGGGAAAGUGGAAUUCCUAGUGUAGCGGUGAAAUGCGCAGAUAUUAGGAGGAAUACCGGUGGCGAAGGCGACUUUCUGGCCAUAACCUGACGCUGAGGUACGAAAGCGUGGGUAGCAAACAGG
rnacentral:rRNA from 1 species